rnacentral:tRNA from 1 species
GAAAAGUGCAAUGGAAAAAUUAUAAUCAGGUGUCGUCUUAGAAUCAUACUUCGAGAUUGAAUAAACAUUGGGUCGCAGGUUCAAAUCCUGCCUUUUCCC